rnacentral:lncRNA from 1 species
AUUUUUCUGUGUAGACCAUUAACACACUUACAGAUGACUCCGCACUUGCUUGUCCUGAUGUUGGCCCAGGGAAAAUAUGGGUAGAAGUUCCUCCAUGAGAUCCCUGACUUUCAUUCUCUUCAAAACAAGAAUUAAGAUACACAUGUUGGAAGAAUAUUACUGAAGUCACCCAAAGUGUAAGUAUUCAAAAAACAAUGAGCUUUUAAGACGGCAUUAGAAAGCACCAUUUUUACCCCAGACACGGAACAGGUGCAGUAAAAUAAACCUGUGCCAAAGCAUUCUGUUAACUUUUGCUAGUGGAGGCAGUGGGCUCAUUGUGACAGCUGAUAUUCUCUUCACUUCCUGAAGACUUGAAGCUGUAAGAAUAGGCUAGCACCUGGGAAAAUUGUGCUGGCUUAAUGGCCUAGAAUGCAGGCUGAUUUUCCUAUGAUUUGGAGAACUGCUUUUAACUCAAUUAUGUUAAGCACCAGGUCAAUUCCUUCCCCUUCUUAACACUUGAAGUGAAUAACCUCUCAAGACAAAUGCUUAAUUUUCUAAAUAUGAAGUCCUUUGGCAUAUAAGCUG